rnacentral:misc_RNA from 1 species
UUUCCGUAGGUGAACCUGCGGAAGGAUCAUUAACGAAAUUGUCUUCGGACAUUUUUAUCCUUAACACCUGUGAACUAUUGUAAUUUUUUGCUUUGGUCCUUCGGGGCCAGAAGAUUUAAUCAAAACCUUUUAUUAUUAACCUGAGUCUGAAAAUUGAAAAAUUGAAUUAUUCAAAACUUUCAACAACGGAUCUCUUGGUUCUCGCAUCGAUGAAGAACGCAGC